rnacentral:tRNA from 1 species
GCCAGAGUAGCUCAGUGGUAGAGCAGCUGAUUCGUAAUCAGCAGGUCGCAGGUUCAAAUCCUGUCUCUGGCUCCA